CAGACCCCGAAUUACAGGGCAACACCUACUCUAGUAUACGCUUUUUAUUCUAAGCCUAGCCACGUUACACGACACAUGACACGGACCGCCACACGUAUUGUAACCUUUUUUGAUAAUACAUUGUUCAUAUCCUCGAUCGUGUGUGUUCUUGUAUCAACCAUUACAGACUUUUUCACGUCUUUAUCUGAAAGAAAAGAUUCCGGUGAACAUCGCUCUAGCCGUGAACCGAGAAGAUACUGAUAGGAGCAAAAAUCAGCGAGGACACGCUCAGAAGCCAAGAUACCUGUGAUCAUUCGUAAAGGCUAUCAAAUACCAGCUAAAACUUCGGAAUGGGUCACCAAGUGGAACGUCAAUAUGUCAAUCUAAACACUGUCUUCUCACAUCUCGACUCACUAUUUUGCACAACGCUGCACCGCCAUCGCAAUUGGCGCCACAGGUUCAUACAGAACUCUUUGAGGCAAUAUCUCAGUACUGACAACUUGCCACCCUUCCCUUUUCACCUCUUGCCUCCUGUAAUCGAUCAAGACAUACCUACUAGGUCCAUAUCUCCCUCAUCUCCUACUCCUCCAUAGUUAGAGAAAUUUAACCUUUUCACUCAUACAUACAUACACAUAUGUAUCUAUACAUCGCAGCUUAUUUUCAUAUCAACACUAAACCUGCGUUGUUACAUUGGACCAAAAUUGUCACAAUAUCUUGUAAAUGAUACCACAAUUUGAGUAGAUAAUAAAAAUAUAUAUAUUUA